CAUUCCCUUAACCUCUCUGGUCCAAGUCUAAGGCCCAUUCAAGCCCUAAAGCAGAAGACUAUAAAUUAUUCAGGGGGCGGGGCAGGUUGGAAAGUAGGAGGAGCUAUUUGCACGCCCUACUUUUUACGGGAUGCUGCGGUUUGGGCCGGCUUGGGUAGUUGCCAUGACUUCGAUUCCGUGGCCGCUGGGCGUCCUUGGCAGCCUUUCCGUCAUUGGCCCCGGAACACGUGGCUUGGGGAGAUUUGCGCCCCGAUUGGUCGCGGCUCCAAGGGGGAGGAAGCCGCGGGACGUGUCCGUGGCUGUGUGCUAGGAGUAGCAUAUGUAAGAGCAGUGAUAUCUUUCUACUGUGUGGCUGCAGCUGACUACUAGAGGCCUAAUGUCCCAAAAGAUGAAUCCAGACCAAGUGACCAGUCAGGAGUUUGGCUUUCUCUGGGAGAAAAAGAUUCUACCUCUGGUGUGACUGAGCCAGAAGAUUUAGUCAAAAGAAGUUCAGCAUCCCUGGAUACCAUACCCUGAUUGGGAAUGGUAGCUUUCCUUUUUCCUGGUGGUUCUGAGUUAUUUGUUAGAUUCCAAAUCCUCUGCUUCCUCAUCUCCUGCCUGUGACUUUUUCCUCAGAUCUCUGACCUUAUUGAAGCUUUAUACCCUACCUUGAGCCAGAAAUUCUGAGUAGCAUAGAUCCAAGUUGGGAAGAGUUCUGCUUGUGUUGUCUUAUUCAUUCUUUGUCUCUGUGUUUACCUCACAAGCUGGAGCUGGGUCUGAUUUCCUGCUCCAAGUGUCACAGAACUGACAGACAUUCAGACAAAUGUGAAAUCACCCUCAGAGUUCCUGGCUCUAGAAACAAAACAGAGUUGGAAGAGUUUGCAUAAUCUGGAGAGGGAGUUUACUAAUUUACCCAGAAGCUGGGUGAAGAGGUGAGACUGGGAAUGGAGGAGUGAGGUCAAAGGUCAGACCCACUGAAAACUGGGAAAAGAAAAGCAUGUUGUAAGAAGAAUUUGAAGGAAUCAGUCUAUUCAUUUCUGAAUCUCCCUAGACCAGGCAAGUGUUGAUGAAAUAAAUCAGCUAUCUAUAAACUGGAUAAUUAGAUC
rnacentral:lncRNA from 1 species